rnacentral:rRNA from 1 species
AACGAACGCUGGCGGCAGGCUUAACACAUGCAAGCCGAACGCCCCGCAAGGGGAGUGGCAGACGGGUGAGUAACGCGUGGGAAUCUACCCAUCCCUACGGAACAACUCCGGGAAACUGGAGCUAAUACCGUAUACGCCCUACGGGGGAAAGAUUUAUCGGGGAUGGAUGAGCCCGCGUUGGAUUAGCUAGUUGGUGGGGUAAAGGCCUACCAAGGCGACGAUCCAUAGCUGGUCUGAGAGGAUGAUCAGCCACAUUGGGACUGAGACACGGCCCAAACUCCUACGGGAGGCAGCAGUGGGGAAUAUUGGACAAUGGGCGCAAGCCUGAUCCAGCCAUGCCGCGUGAGUGAUGAAGGUCUUAGGAUUGUAAAGCACUUUCACCGGUGAAGAUAUUGACGGUAACCGGAGAAGAAGCCCCGGCUAACUUCGUGCCAGCCGCCGCGGUAACAC